AUGAACGCUGGCGGCGUGCCUAAUACAUGCAAGUCGAGCGAACGGACGAGAAGCUUGCUUCUCUGAUGUUAGCGGCGGACGGGUGAGUAACACGUGGAUAACCUACCUAUAAGACUGGGAUAACUUCGGGAAACCGGAGCUAAUUCCGGAUAAUAUUUUGAACCGCAUGGUUCAAAAGUGAAAGACGGUCUUGCUGUCACUUAUAGAUGGAUCCGCGCUGCAUUAGCUAGUUGGUAAGGUAACGGCUUACCAAGGCAACGAUGCAUAGCCGACCUGAGAGGGUGAUCGGCCACACUGGAACUGAGACACGGUCCAGACUCCUACGGGAGGCAGCAGUAGGGAAUCUUCCGCAAUGGGCGAAAGCCUGACGGAGCAACGCCGCGUGAGUGAUGAAGGUCUUCGGAUCGUAAAACUCUGUUAUUAGGGAAGAACAUAUGUGUAAGUAACUGUGCACAUCUUGACGGUACCUAAUCAGAAAGCCACGGCUAACUACGUG
rnacentral:rRNA from 1 species